CCCUUAGAUGCUCUGGGCCGCACGCGCGCUACACUGGUCGAUGCAACGAGUUUCUUUCCUUGGCCGACAGGCCUGGGCAAUCUUUGAACAUCGAUCGUGAUCGGGAUAGAUUCUUGUAAUUUUUGAUCUUAAACGGGGAAUUCCUAGUAAACGCAAGUCAUCAGCUUGCAUUGAUUACGUCCCUGCCCUUUGUACACACCGCCCGUCGCACCUACCGAUUGAAUGGUCCGGUGAAAUCUCCGGACUGGCGUGAGUCGGAGCAAUCUGACAAACACCGGAAAGUUGAUUAAACCUUACCAUUUAGAGGAAGGUGAAGUCGUAACA
rnacentral:rRNA from 1 species